UUCUAGUUUAGCAGUUAUCUUGACAUGGCUAUAAAGAAGCAAAUUUUCCAGCCAUCAUUCUGGUUAGACCCUUUUCAAGAUUUUGCUAUGCUUAUAUGUCAGAAAGAACGGGCUUUAACUGGAAUGACUUGUGAGAAUGGCUUACUUGGGGAAAUGGGAGCCUGAGUUUUCACAUCUAACUUUGUGUUUCCUUUGAAGCUAUUCAAAAUGGCUCAUUUUUCAGGUGUCGUUGCAGGUCUAACAAGUAAGAAUAAUUAUUUGUCCUCGUCAACCAUUACAAUCAGUACAAUGUGGGUUCUAUGUUAUGAGGAUGAUGAAGGACUUCGUGACAAAUGAGUUUUCAAUGCGAUGGCUAACUAGUAAUUGUGGCGGGAAGAACUAUUACACAAAGGAUGAGAUCAAUGAAGUACGUGAAGAAUGGGCACAAUGCGUCAUGGAUUUGAUGAGUACUACAUAGGUCCACUCACUUUUGUUAACUUACACUUUUAAUGAGAUAUACUUACAAUGUUAACUUAGACUUUCUUGAAGAUAUACACACUUUUGUUGUCUAACUAUAGUUUACAAUGCUUAUGUGAGUCAUUUUGUAAUUAACUUAAGACUCGUUAUUUUA